rnacentral:lncRNA from 1 species
UUCUUCUCCCGCAUGCUUAGAAGCCUUUGGACCUCUUGCGCAAUGAGGAAACCCCAGGGUAACUGUGGGCAGUUGGCUGAGUAGAACCAGAAGCGUAAACAUAGUCUGGCAACUGUCAAACAAACUAAAACAAACAAAAAACAUAUUUAAAAAAAAAGGCCCCUAGCUCAGCACUUUGAGUUUCUGUCGAACUGAAUCACCAACCUGUUGUACUCAAAGCCUAGGCGCAAGAGCGCCCGGCGCGCGGUUUCGGUCGCCGGGACCCGACGCGCGCCCAGGAAGCAGCCCCUGAGAGCGCCUGGGACAAACGCCGUGCACAGUGACCCUGCCGAGGGCUGAUCGGGCACCUGUCGCCGCGGGCAACCCUCGCUAUGUGUUCGAAUCCAACCCAGUCCGCCGAGGUGGCCCCUUCCAGUACCCAGGGGAGUGCUUUCUACAUUGUUCGUGCUGAAUACAUUUUCAUGGAGUGGAAGCAAUUUAUUUUCAGGUAGGAAAAGUGCUUCAUUUCCCACUACUUUGGGGAGAGGCCAAUGGUCAAAUGCCUC